AUGCAAGUCGAACGGCAGCACGGACUUCGGUCUGGUGGCGAGUGGCGAACGGGUGAGUAAUAUAUCGGAACGUGCCCAGUAGCGGGGGAUAACUACGCGAAAGCGUGGCUAAUACCGCAUACGCCCUACGGGGGAAAGGGGGGGAUCUUCGGACCUCUCACUAUUGGAGCGGCCGAUAUCGGAUUAGCUAGUUGGUGGGGUAAAGGCCUACCAAGGCGACGAUCCGUAGCUGGUUUGAGAGGACGACCAGCCACACUGGGACUGAGACACGGCCCAGACUCCUACGGGAGGCAGCAGUGGGGAAUUUUGGACAAUGGGGGCAACCCUGAUCCAGCCAUCCCGCGUGUGCGAUGAAGGCCUUCGGGUUGUAAAGCACUUUUGGCAGGGAAGAAAAGGCGCCGGAUAAUACCUGGCGCCGCUGACGGUACCUGCAGAAUAAGCACCGGCUAACUACGUGCCAGCAGCCGCGGUAAUACGUAGGGUGCAAGCGUUAAUCGGAAUUACUGGGCGUAAAGCGUGCGCAGGCGGUUCGGAAAGAAAGAUGUGAAAUCCCAGGGCUUAACCUUGGAACUGCAUUUUUAACUGCCGGGCUAGAGUAUGUCAGAGGGGGGUAGAAUUCCACGUGUAGCAGUGAAAUGCGUAGAGAUGUGGAGGAAUACCGAUGGCGAAGGCAGCCCCCUGGGAUAAUACUGACGCUCAUGCACGAAAGCGUGGGGAGCAAACAGGAUUA
rnacentral:rRNA from 1 species